rnacentral:rRNA from 1 species
UACGGAGGGUGCGAGCGUUGUCCGGAUCACUGGGCGUAAAGGGCGCGUAGGCGGCCUGAUAAGUAGGGGGUGAAAUCCUGCGGCUUAACCGCAGGGCUGCCUUCUAAACUGUCAGGCUGGAGCACAGUAGAGGCAGGUGGAAUUCCCGGUGUAGCGGUGGAAUGCGUAGAGAUCGGGAAGAACAUCAGUGGCGAAGGCGGCCUGCUGGGCUGUUGCUGACGCUGAGGCGCGACAGCGUGGGGAGCAAACAGG